rnacentral:misc_RNA from 1 species
CAGAGCUGCAUUACGAACGCGUAGACCUCGGCGAGUGCAGCCACCUGCGAAAUAUAUCGAAGGUGGUCGCUAACCUCAAAUAAAAUUCUUUAUUAAAUUUGCUCAAAAUAAAUUCAUGCUCAGGACGACCAUGGCGAAUUUGCGGAAAUUCAUAGAUAUUGGGGCCAAUUUAACAGAUCCUAUGUACCAGGGUGUAUACAAUGGGUCUCAAAAACACGAGCCUGAUUUACAUAGAGUUUUGGAAAGAAGUUGGUCCAACAACAUUUCCAAAAUCAUAAUAACAGCUGGCAAUAUUGAACAAAGCAAAAAAGCUUUAGAAUUAGCUAAAACUGAUGAUAGGCUUUUUUCAACUGUUGGUUGCCACCCAACAAGAUGCAGUGAAUUUGAAGAAUCUGGAGACCCAGAAUCAUAUUUAAAAUCGUUGACUGAUCUUGCAUCAGAAAAUAAAGAUAAAAUAGUCGCCAUCGGCGAAAUGGGAUUAGAUUACGACCGAUUACAGUUUUGUCCCAAAGACACUCAGAAAAAAUACUUUGAAAUGCAACUGAGUAUGUGUUCAACAUUGAAUCUGCCCAUGUUUUUACACUGUAGAAAUGCUUCUGAAGAUUUUGUACAAAUUCUAAGAAAGCACAAAGGUAAACUGACCAAUGGUGUUGUACAUUCUUUCGAUGGAAAUCCGGAAGAUGCCAAUUCGAUAUUACAAAUGGGGCUUUCUAUUGGAAUCAAUGGAUGUUCCUUAAAAACAGAAGAUAAUCUUUUUGCGGUGACUACAAUCCCCUUGGAUAGACUGAUGAUUGAAACUGAUUGUCCAUGGUGUGAAGUGAGGCCAACACAUGCAGCAGCUCAACAUAUUAUCACUAGUUUUCCCUCAGUGAAGAAAGAGAAAUGGCAACCUGACCACUUGGUGAAGGGUCGUAACGAACCUUGCAACAUUGUACAAAUUCUGGAAAUAUUAGCUCGUGUUAGAGACGAGGAAGAAGAGUAUCUGUGCAACCAGAUAUAUAAAAAUACAAUGAAACUGUUCUUUCCUCACGAGUUAUAACUUUCUUAUGAACUAUUAUUUAUUUUAUAAGCAUCAAUGUAUCACACACCAUACCUUAAUAUUAGAAACAUAAACUAAGUCUUUUUGCAUUGAACAUUACUUGGGCUUUCGAAACUUCAAUUCAUAGCAAAUUUGUGAGUAUGAAAGCAAGCAUGUGUAAUCUGCUAAGCAGUAGGAAUGAUCAUAAAGUAUACUUGAAGCCAAAUUUCAGUUAGGUAUCCUUAUAGAAUUUCUACGCCUCGCAUUGAUACUACUGUAAUUUAUAAUCCAAUUUAAAUUAAAGAAACAAUAAACUCAAGUAAUACCAACGAGACAAUAUUCGUCAUCUUUACUGAAACUGUUCAUCGCUUAAAAGUUCCCGUCAUCUAUGCCUAGCGUUCGACCGAUGAUUUGGCUGUGAGGAUAAAAUAUUUGUCACAAUUUUAGUACUGCAGUAUUCCCAAAAAUUUUGGACGCCAACUAGGAAAUAGGAAUUUAUGAACAAUGAAAACAUGCAGAGUAUUUUACCAAAAUUAAAAAAUUUGAUAACGUGUCUAAUCUAGAAAUGAUGUUGAUUAUAAUAUGCUUAAUAUUUGGAUGAGCCUCCUUGUAGAGAUGGAUGAAAAAUGUUCCAUAUUGUAGUGAAAACUUCCCUUUGUACAAAAGUUACGCAUACUUACUAGAAACAUUUGAUGUACGAACAAUAAAACUUCAUGACCGACAUGAUAUGAUCUGUAAUGCACUUGUUGGGAUCUCAGAAACUUAUUAUUUUGCCACAAUCUUCAUUGAAGGGUCACUUACUGUAGUGAGUGUUAAUCUCUUCGACGUAACCAUAAGAUACAGACCACUGUUUAGACCUCACUGGUAAAUCCUCAUUAUUUGAGAAAAAUUCAUCACACCAUUUCUCUUCACUACAACCAAGUGGCCGAUGACAAGUUCCGUUAACUACUCAUAUAAGAUAUAAAUUCAAUUAACAUGGACAUCAUAAAUUUUGGAUCGUAGAACUGCAAGUGAAUUGAAACCAACAAUUAGUAAUAUCAAACACUCAGUUUGAUGUGAUAUGAUGCAGUGAAGCUAGAACUCACACAUUAUUGAAUAAUACAUCACUAAAGAGACUAUGUUUGAAUAUAUUUUGUAUCAAUCAGUAGUAUUGUUUGCAUCAAUAACGUAUGAUUGAAAAUAGACUGCGUUUUAGAGAUAAAAAAUAAGAUAUAAAAGAACCACUUACAUAAUAAUAAACGCAACUUACUUUAUUUAUUUACGUCUACAGUUAGUACAUGACCAUUCUGUAAAUCUGUUGUGUAAAUUUAUCCAGCAAUAUUUAGACUGGAAUAUUUUCUGCGAUAGAUUUAGUGGGUAAAACAGUUUCAAUUUCGGAUGAACCGAAUUCUGUAUAACAGAACACCAAACGAUUAUUAUUUUCUCAACAAAUUUAUAUGCAAUUUUUUAUGUUGAUAACUAAAUUAUAAUUACUGUUACUCAAACCGUGACUUUUGUAAACCGUAUCAAGGUCAAGGUUUCAAAUGUCAAGAUAAUCAAUCGUAUUAUUAAUUUAAAGAAUUAUAUUUUUUACGCACCACUUUCGUACGAUGUUCUUAUUCAUUAUUGUACAACUUUUUACACCAUUCUACAACAAUAUGCAAUUAUAUAAACACAUCAAUCAAAUCCUACAGCUUAA